AGUGAACGCUGGCGGUAGGCCUAACACAUGCAAGUCGAACGGCAGCACAGUAAGAGCUUGCUCUUACGGGUGGCGAGUGGCGGACGGGUGAGGAAUACAUCGGAAUCUACUUUUUCGUGGGGGAUAACGUAGGGAAACUGACGCUAAUACCGCAUACGACCUACGGGUGAAAGCAGUGGAUCUUCGGACCUUUCGCGAUUGAAUGAGCCGAUGUCGGAUUAGCUAGUUGGCGGGGUAAAGGCCCACCAAGGCGACGAUCCGUAGCUGGUCUGAGAGGAUGAUCAGCCACACUGGAACUGAGACACGGUCCAGACUCCUACGGGAGGCAGCAGUGGGGAAUAUUGGACAAUGGGCGCAAGCCUGAUCCAGCCAUACCGCGUGGGUGAAGAAGGCCUUCGGGUUGUAAAGCCCUUUUGCUGGGAAAGAAAAGCAGCAGGUUAAUACCCCGCUGUUCUGACGGUACCCAAAGAAUAAGCACCGGCUAACUUCGUG
rnacentral:rRNA from 1 species